UAGAGCACAAAGAGGCUCAGGGACAGUGCUCAGGCCCUGAGUUCAAGCCCUAGGAAUAGCAAAAAACAAAACAAUACUAUAUUGAAUUAUUAAAGAUUUUCUUAUACUUCUCACUAAAAGGCACGCACUGAGGAAAAAUUAGCUCUAAAGUGGCCUAAAGAACCAUGGUACAUGUGAUCCUUUAUCACUACUUCUCCAAAUAUGUCUUCAAAAACAACAGUUUAUACGUCUGUUGCUAGUGUUAAUGGUGUCCCAAAUAACCUUUGACCCAUAUCUGACAAGGAAUGCUUAUCUAUCUAAAUUAAGCACUCUUAGAACAACAGAGAAACAAGUCUCUAAGAAAGAAGCGAAAUAUCUGGACAGGUGGUUCAUAAAGGAGGUAUUCAUGUAAGCACCGAGCACAGGAAGGGAUCAACAUCAUGAGUCAUCGGAGAAAUGAAAAGCACCCAGGGGAUCACGGAAUGUCUACAAAAAUGGCUAACACAAUAGACAGACACCAUCAAAUACUGGCAAACAGGCAGAGCACCCACAACUGUUGUGCACUGUUUGUGGGGUGUAAAAUAGCACAACACUUUGGGAGAAAUGGGAGAUCAUUCUUAUAAAAUUAAACAUACAUUUCCUCUACAGCCCAGUAAUUGCACUGUUAGAUAAUUUCCAGGGAUAGCAUAUGUUCAC